rnacentral:rRNA from 1 species
UGGGGAAUAUUGCACAAUGGGGGAAACCCUGAUGCAGCCAUGCCGCGUGUGUGAAGAAGGCCUUCGGGUUGUAAAGCACUUUCAGCGAGGAGGAAAGGGUGUAAGUUAAUACCUUACAUCUGUGACGUUACUCGCAGAAGAAGCACCGGCUAACUCCGUGCCAGCAGCCGCGGUAAUACGGAGGGUGCGAGCGUUAAUCGGAAUUACUGGGCGUAAAGCGUGCGCAGGCGGUUUGUUAAGCGAGAUGUGAAAGCCCCGGGCUCAACCUGGGAACCGCAUUUCGAACUGGCAAACUAGAGUCUUGUAGAGGGGGGUAGAAUUCCAGGUGUAGCGGUGAAAUGCGUAGAGAUCUGGAGGAAUACCGGUGGCGAAGGCGGCCCCCUGGACAAAGACUGACGCUCAGGCACGAAAGCGUGGGGAGCAAACAGG